AGCGAUGGAGCAGGACGUACAGGAACAUACAUUGCCAUUUCAAACCUUCUUGAACGAAUGAAAAUUGAACAAACAAUGGAUGUCUUCCAAGCCAUAAAAAUCAUCAGAGGAACACGACCACAAUUUGUGGAAAAUGCCGUAAGUACAACCUAGCUUUGUUAGAAUUUAACCAACUGUUUUGAUAUGGGUACAUCCGCAGUUCUGUUUAUUUCAAAACUUUGGAGAGAACAUUUCUAUUGAUCCAGACAAGAAUUUUGGAAAAAUAUCUUUAAGUUUAUGAACAAGCCUUGGACUUUUCGUUAGUCUAUAGGAUUAAGUAAAUCGGCUUUUGAACAACUGGGCCCAGAAUUAUAACAAAAUUUACAUUGUUUUUUUCUCUAGGAACAGUACGAGUUCUGUUACACUGCCAUUAUGGCGUACCUGGAUGGCUUCAGUGACUACGCUAAUUUCGAGUAACCAACUAUAUCCCAGUAUAUAUUCAUAAUAAUAAAUUUCAAAAGAAGAAACUAACUUAGUUGUAUACGCUUAAAGCGAAAACUUGUCAUACGUAUUUUAAUAGUUUUAAAAACUUUAUUUUGGUCAUAGAUUUGUCAAUACAUAAACAGUACGAGUACUAGGACUUAAAAGAACUAAAAUUAAUUUGGAUAUUAAAUUAAUUGAAAUUAAUACAGGUUGUAAAAUAUAUAGAAGCAAUGCAUGCAUGCAUGUGAUAAUAUUUGUUGGAUGUUAAGUCUUUCACAAUUGCGUAUAUAUCUAAAUUUUUAAUAAAUUCUAAC